AAAAGGUGUGCAUUUGUUUAGAGUCAAUUUCAAAUUCCAACUCCAGCUACAGCGAACCGGCAGUUGAAAUUUUCUUUUUCUUUCCUUUAAUAAAUUUCCCCUACAUGGAUUUGGACUUGAAAAUAAAUAUAAAUAAACAACAGAACUGAAGGAUGCCAACAGUCUUUGAAGUUUUAAUUAAACCAUGUUAUGGAUUGCUUGUUGGUUGACCUUUGG
rnacentral:lncRNA from 1 species